rnacentral:rRNA from 1 species
UAAGCGGAGGAAAAGAAACUAACAAGGAUUCCCCUAGUAACGGCGAGUGAAGCGGGAAGAGCUCAAAUUUGAAAUCUGGUGGCCUCAGGUCAUCCGAGUUGUAAUCUAUAGAAGUGUUUUCCGUGCUGGCUCAUGUACAAGUCCCUUGGAACAGGGCGUCAUAGAGGGUGAGAAUCCCGUCCUUGACAUGAACUACCAGUGCUCUGUGAUACAUUUUCAACGAGUCGAGUUGUUUGGGAAUGCAGCUCAAAAUGGGUGGUAAAUUCCAUCUAAAGCUAAAUAUUGGCGAGAGACCGAUAGCGAACAAGUACCGUGAGGGAAAGAUGAAAAGCACUUUGGAAAGAGAGUUAAACAGUAUGUGAAAUUGUUGAAAGGGAAACGAUUGAAGUCAGUCGUGCUCUUUGGAUUCAGCCGGUUCUGCCGGUGUACUUCCUUUGAGUGGGGUCAACAUCAGUUUUGAUCGCUGGAUAAAGGCUGGAGGAACGUAGUACCCUCGGGUAAACUUAUAGCCUCCUGUCACAUACAGUGGUUGGGAGGUGAGGAACGCAGCACGCCUUUAUGGCCGGGAUUCGUCCACG